CAGUUCGGAUUGUAGUCUGCAACCCGACUACAUGAAGCUGGAAUCGCUAGUAAUCGCGGAUCAGAAUGCCGCGGUGAAUACGUUCCCGGGUCUUGUACACACCGCCCGUCACACCAUGGGAGUCGGAAAUGCCCGAAGUCUGUGACCCAACCGGAAGGAAGGAGCAGCCGAAGGCAGGUCUGAUGACUGGGGUGAAGUCGUAACAAGGUAGC
rnacentral:rRNA from 1 species